UCGCUUCAGCAGCACAUAUACUACAAUUGGAACAAUACAGAGAAGAUUAGCAUGGCCCCUGAGCAAGGAUGACAUGCAAAUUCAAGAAGCAUUCCAUAUUUUU
rnacentral:snRNA from 1 species